rnacentral:rRNA from 1 species
UGGGGAAUUUUGGACAAUGGGCGCAAGCCUGAUCCAGCAAUGCCGCGUGUGUGAAGAAGGCCUUCGGGUUGUAAAGCACUUUUGUCCGGAAAGAAAUCCGUCUGGCUAAUACCCGGACGGGAUGACGGUACCGGAAGAAUAAGCACCGGCUAACUACGUGCCAGCAGCCGCGGUAAUACGUAGGGUGCGAGCGUUAAUCGGAAUUACUGGGCGUAAAGCGUGCGCAGGCGGCUUUGUAAGACAGAUGUGAAACCCCCGGGCUCAACCUGGGAACUGCAUUUGUGACUGCAAGGCUAGAGUGCGUCAGAGGGAGGUGGAAUUCCGCGUGUAGCAGUGAAAUGCGUAGAGAUGCGGAGGAACACCGAUGGCGAAGGCAGCCUCCUGGGAUGACACUGACGCUGAUGCGCGAAAGCCAGGGGAGCAAACG